CCCCCGUCACUGCGUCAUGCCCGCUUCAGCGCGCGGACCUCCUCGGGUACCCGAUGCCAGUUGCCACUCCCUGCCGUUAUAUCCUUUGACACGAGCGCACUCGUUCAUUCAUCGAUUCGUUCGCCCCUUCUCUUACUCCCCCAACCGCAACUUCCACAGGGACCAGGCAUCACUGACACUUCCCGGUGCCAUAGCGCGUGUGCAGCUCAGGAUCCAUACACACGGAUCGCAUAAUGCGAUAACAGCAAAAACUUGGAACGGCCGAACGAAUUGCAUGUGCGUGGAACAGCUGUAGCUAUACGAGCGUGGCAGCGCUUGGGAACUUGUGUCCAAACGAAAACUAUUUUCACCGAAGGAUCUUACGACGUCUCAUUGUCGGUCGAGUAUUAUUGAAUGAAUACUGUGUCCACAACUGUAUAUCAUAAAGUGAAUUUGUUGUAAUGGUAUGGAUAUAGAUAUAUGUAUAUAGCUAUGUCGGUAUAUCUUACAGGUAUAUAUGCGAACAAUGGUAGACGUUCUCGAUAACGCAACAAUAUGGCUAUGAUAAGUGAUAAUCCUACGACGUAUUUGUACGACGAUAAAUCAGAGUAAACAUACGACCUUGAACGUGGAAGUACCUACAUUGCCCACGAUUCUCUUCUGGUUGCUAUCAGUCAUUCCUUCCACUAUCGGAAGAAUGAAAUGGCAAAGGAAAAUAAAUGAUCUUCUGCAUAAUCUGCAAUCAUGUGUAUUAUAUGUUGCUGAGUAAUAAAAUUAUGGUCUUAAAAAUGCAA
rnacentral:lncRNA from 1 species